rnacentral:rRNA from 1 species
AUGAAUGCCUUGAAGCAAAACAUGAACUUGGAGCACCGAUGCAGAAUAUCAUUUUCUACCGCCAGGUCCCCGGUGCCAUUGGACAUCUUCUCCUGCUCCUUGUCGCCUUUGUCCACCGAAGACGAGCUCCUCCUCACAGAUGGUGUGUCCUACAACUACAAUGGCUGUCCCAUCCCUCCUGCGGCACUGAAGACCCUUCUCAAGAACCCCAAGGUGGCAAGCGAGAGCGAGGCCACUGAUGCGGACAUCGAUGCCGGCCAUGUUUCUGGCAUCUUCUUUGUCUCCGAGAGAGACGACGACCUAGAGACAUUGUACAUCGCCUUGCGCUUCAAUGCCGACGGCAAAGUCAAGAUCUUUUCCCUUGCCGACAUCUUCGGUACUGCCGACUUCAGUGGCAUUCGCCUUGAGAACAGUUGUUCCAUUGGCGGCGGCUACAGUAUGGGGUCUCGAACCAUCGACCACUCUCUCAUCUAUGUCUCCACAAAGGAGCCGGUACAUAAACGCCACAGCCCUGGGACGGCUGUGUACAAAACUAAUCUUAGAACAGGCAAGACGGAGCGGCUCACCCCACGAGGGAUGUUUGAUUUGAGCCCAGCCGUGUCCCCAUCGGGGAAGAAGGUGGCAGUGGCGUCAUUUCGAUGGAAUAGAUGGGAUGGCGAGGUCGAGAAACUGGAGACUGACAUCUGCGUGAUGAACGUGGAUAGGGAGGAGUGUCGUGGCCUUGGGCGCAGCCUAAUCAUCAGGGACGGUGGAUGGCCAUCCUGGGGUAGCGACAACAUCAUUUUCUUCCAUCGAGGCGUCAAAAAAUUCUCCGAGGGCAUGGGUGAAACAUCUUGGGCCGUCUUCCGGUACAACAUCAGCACCAAGGAGACCAUGCUGGUGACUCCGCAUGGGUUGGACGCGGUGACUCCGGCUGCCAUCAGCGACACUAAGGUGGCGGUGGCAACCAUCCGCCAGGAGCCCCUGAUUGGCGAUGCCAGCGUGGAUGUGCAGUACCGGCACAUCGAGAUUUUCGACACGAGUACGCCCGAGCUGCCGCCGGUGUGCAUCACCCAAGCGAUGAGGCCAAAAUGCGACCACUACAACCCCUUCGUGCUGGACGGUGGGGGCCUCAUUGGAUACCAUCGCUGCGUGAGUGAUCAACUGCAACAUGGAGACCGCACCCAUCGGAAUUUGUUUCAGCCGGAGUCUCCGGUGAAUGACGUCGGCUUGCAUUGUUUGUCUGUCAUCUCCCCCGGCCGAUACACGCUUGCAUUCAUCAACAAUGAAUUCAAUGAGGUGUGGGUCGCCGAUAGCCAAGGGUUGCGCCUCAUAUACAAGAAAAGGGGCCUGAAUAGCAUUUUAGCCGCUGUGUGGAACCAGAACCCUAUGAAUGACACCCUGUACAUCUGCGUCGGCACAUCCUUCAGCACCGACAUCGACAUGCCACUGGAGAUCUACUGUAUCAUGAACGCCUCUGCUCAACCGAGGUAUCUAAAAGUCAGCAGGUUAACUAACGGAGAGUUCAACAACGCGUUCCCGUCGAGCAAACCGCAGGGAAACAAAUUAGUCUUCCGGUCGACAAGAGAUUGGGGCAAGAAGAAGCACAAGAACCUGUACAUAAUGGAGGACGCAUCGUGUGGGGAAUAUGGAGAAGGCACAAUGACGCGGUUGACGAUGGGGCCAUGGACAGACACGCACUGCAUGUGGUCCCCGCAAGGGGACUGGAUAGUCUUCUCGUCGACGCGCGACAAGCCCUACGACGCCGCCAAGGUGGAUAACAGCCUGGACCCGGGGCACUUCUCCGUGUUCCUAGUGAAUCUGCAGGACCCAAUGGUGGUGAUCAGGGUGAUGAACAGUGACGGUCACAUACACCGCCCAGUGUUCAGUCCGGACAUGAGGAGUAUCGCUGUGACGGCGGACCUCGCAGCAGUGUCCGUUGAACCGAUAUCGCUGCCCAGGUACUCACACCCACUGCGUUCCUACGGCAACAUUUCCGUGGUGGACAUCGACACAAAGGAUCUGAUGGAGAAAAAAUACAUCAAAGGACCCAGGUAUUUACACCCAAUGUGUUCCAAUGUCUUCGUGGUGGACAUGGAGCCAGAGAAUCUGACGAAGACCGAACACCUAGGACCCAGGCCAGGGGCUAGGAAAUAUUUUCUGCAGCCUACCGCGCUCUAUUGA